CCCGUCCUGCUCCGGCUGCUGCUGGCACACAGAGCUGCUGCCCCUUUGCCUCCCUCCCCCAGCAGCAGGGAAAAUGUGAAACACCAUGACUGAGGCUUUGAAUAACCCACGGGCAGAGCCCCUCUUGCUCCGUGGGGAUAAGGAGUGCCCAGGAAAGGGAGUAGAGUUACCCACUCAUGCAAGGCUGAUCCCAUUUACACCCGGGCUCUUCUGCACCAUGCAGAGAUGCUGCCUCCUGCCCCGAUACCCUCGACAUCAGGCUCUGCAGCAUCAGGGAACAGACAUUUGGCAUCCAGAGGCUGAAAUGGUACACAGCGUCUGAAGUCCAGCACCCCCCUUCUCCCCUUUCAGACCCAUUACUGAGGACCUGCUUGCCUUCCCCCUUCCCGAUGCAGCGUCCUGGGUGCUGUGGCGCAGACACAGAGCCUUUAAGAGCAGGAUCAAGCGCUGUCGCUGGAUGCUCACACGGAGGAGGACCUGUACCUAGCUUUGGUGGCUUGCACAUGGGAUUUAAGCUGAAUGCAGUAACGUAUGCCCAAUUGAGGGGCCUUUCCGCCAUGCAAAAGCACCAGGGCGAUAAUCCAUCCCUGCCAGGCUGCUGGAAUCCCCUCCCCGCAUCCCCCACUGCAAAGUCAAAAGCCACUUUCAGGUCCCCAUGCACCCCAGUCAUCAUCCUGCCAGUCCCUGCUGGGUGACCUGGCGUCAGGCAUGGGGCUUGAGGGGUCCCAUUCCUCUAUCGUGGCUGCAGAAGCCCCCCUGCGCGGCUCCAGCCCUUCCCCGGGCAGGAGCAGAGCUCUCAAUGUGACCCUGGUCCCCAAAGGGCUCAUCAGCGAUGCCAGCAGGAACAGCAUCGCCUCCCUGCAAUUAAUCAGAGGAGCUAUUUGUAAAUGAAGACAACCACUGCUCAUCAGCUGGAAAAUGCCUCUGCCGCUCCUCUUGCCAGGCGUUAGCUGGUGAGCCGAGAGCGGCAGACAAUUAAAAUGAGGUGGCUUGGA